GGAUUUGGAAGCUUAUCAAGGCGUAGUUUUGAGGUGAGGCUGUCUGGAAAUUCCAGGGGUAAAUCUCAUGGGCCAGUUCAUGAGUUUAAUGAUGAGCCUCUGCUAAUUCAGACUAGCCGUUGGGCUAGCCUUCCCCCCGAAUUAUUAUGUGACGUGGUCCGAAGACUGGAGGCGAGUGAGAAUACUUGGCCUUCUCGGAGAAAUGUUGUUGC
rnacentral:misc_RNA from 1 species